GCCAGACUCCUACGGGAGGCAGCAGUGGGGAAUAUUGCACAAUGGGGGAAACCCUGAUGCAGCGACGCCGCGUGAGCGAUGAAGUAUUUCGGUAUGUAAAGCUCUAUCAGCAGGGAAGAAAAUGACGGUACCUGACUAAGAAGCCCCGGCUAACUACAUGCCAGCAGCCGCGGUAAUACGUAGGGGGCAAGCGUUAUCCGGAUUUACUGGGUGUAAAGGGAGCGUAGACGGUCCUGCAAGCCAGAUGUGAAAGCCCGGGGCUCAACCCCGGGACUGCAUUUGGAACUGUAAGGCUAGAGUGCAGGAGGGGCAGGCGGAAUUCCUGGUGUAGCGGUGAAAUGCGUAGAUAUCAGGAGGAACACCGGUGGCGAAGGCGGCCUGCUGGACUGCAACUGACGUUGAGGCCCGAAAGCGUGGGGAGCAAACAGGAUUAGAUACCCGUGUAC
rnacentral:rRNA from 1 species